rnacentral:rRNA from 1 species
GACGAACGCUGGCGGCGUGCUUAACACAUGCAAGUCGAACGGAAAGGCCCUGCUUUUGUGGGGUGCUCGAGUGGCGAACGGGUGAGUAACACGUGAGUAACCUGCCCUUGACUUUGGGAUAACUUCAGGAAACUGGGGCUAAUACCGGAUAGGAGCUCCUGCUGCAUGGUGGGGGUGGGAAAGUUUCGGCGGUUGGGGAUGGACUCGCGGCUUAUCAGCUUGUUGGUGGGGUAGUGGCUUACCAAGGCUUUGACGGGUAGCCGGCCUGAGAGGGUGACCGGCCACAUUGGGACUGAGGUACGGCCCAGACUCCUACGGGGGGCAGCAGUGGGGAAUAUUGCACAAUGGGCGGAAGCCUGAUGCAGCAACGCCGCGUGCGGGAUGACGGCCUUCGGGUUGUAAACCGCUUUCGCCUGUGACGAAGCGUGAGUGACGGUAAUGGGUAAAGAAGCACCGGCUAACUACGUG